rnacentral:rRNA from 1 species
CGGGGACUCUAGAGAUACUGCCCCGGUUAACGGGGAGGAAGGUGGGGGAUGACGUCAAGUCCUCAUGGCCCUUAUGCCCAGGGCUACACACGUGCUACAAUGGGCGGUACAAAGGGUAGCGAUGCCGCGAGGUGAAGCCAAUCCCAAAAAGCCGUCCACAGUUCGGAUUGGAGUCUGCAACUCGACUCCAUGAAGCCGGAAUCGCUAGUAAUCGUGGAUCAGCAUGCCACGGUGAAUACGUUCCCGGGCCUU